rnacentral:rRNA from 1 species
CCAAUAGCGUAUAUUAAAGUUGUUGCAGUUAAAAAGCUCGUAGUUGAAUUUCGGGAUCAAUAUAUCGGUCGUGCCUUCGGUAUGCACUGGUAUCAUUUAUUUCUACCUUCUGACGAACCAUGAUGUCAUUAAUUUGGUGUCAUGGGAAAUCAGGACUGUUACUUUGAAAAAAUUAGAGUGUUUAAAGCAGGCACACGCUUGAAUACAUUAGCAUGGAAUAAUGAAAUAGGACGUUUGACCCUAUUUUGUUGGUUUCUAGGAUCGACGUAAUGAUUAAUAGGGAUAGUUGGGGGCAUUAGUAUUCAAUUGUCAGAGGUGAAAUUCUUGGAUUUAUUGAAGACUAACUACUGCGAAAGCAUUUGCCAAGGAUGUUUUCAUUAAUCAAGAACGAAAGUUAGGGGAUCGAAGACGAUCAGAUACCGUCGUAGUCUUAACCAUAAACUAUGCCGACUAGGGAUCGGAUGAUGUUAAGUUUUUAAUGACUCAUUCGGCGCCUUACG